GAUGAACGCUGGCGGCGUGCCUAAUACAUGCAAGUCGAGCGGACGGACGAGAAGCUUGCUGCUCUGAUGUUAGCGGCGGGCGGGUGAGUAACACGUGUAUAACCUACCUAUAAGACUGGGAUAACUUCGGGAAACGGGAGAUAAUACCGGAUAAUAUUCUGAACCGCAGGGGUCAAAAGAGAAAGACGGUCUUGCUGGCACUUCUAGAUGGUUCCGCGCUGCAUUAGCUAGUUGGUAAGGUAACGGCCUACCAAGGCGACGAUGCAUGGCCGACCUGAUGGGGUGAUCGCCCACACGGGAACUGAGACGCGGUCCAGGCUCCUGCGGGAGGCAGCAGUCGGGAAUCUUCCGCAAUGGGCGAAAGCCUGACGGAGCAAGGGCGCGUGAGUGAUGAAGGUCUUCGGAGCGUAAAGCUCUGUUAUUAGGGAAGAACAUAUGUGUAAGUAACUGUGCACAGCGUGACGGUACCUAGUCAGAAAGCACCGGCUAACUACGUG
rnacentral:rRNA from 1 species